GGCAGUUCUCGGAUGACGCACCCCGGAAUUGGGCUCCCUCCUCUCUGGUUUGGGGUCCCGAGAACUGUC
rfam:Myotis brandtii contig250316, whole genome shotgun sequence.